UACGUAGGGUGCGAGCGUUGUCCGGAAUUACUGGGCGUAAAGAGCUCGUAGGUGGUUUGUCGCGUUGUUCGUGAAAACUCACAACUCAAUUGUGGGCGUGCGGGCGAUACGGGCAGACUGGAGUACUGCAGGGGAGACUGGAAUUCCUGGUGUAGGCGGUGGAAUGCGCAGAUAUCAGGAGGAACACCGGUGGCGAAGGCGGGUCUCGUGGGCAGUGAACUGACGCUGAGGAGCGAAAGCCAGGGGAGCAAACGGG
rnacentral:rRNA from 1 species